GAGGAGUCAAAAAAUAAGUUAUUAGCUUAAGUUGCUGGAAAGCGACACCAUAGAGGGUGAUAGUCCUGUGAGCGAAAAUAAUUUAUCUCUUUUAUUGCUAUUCUUGAGUACCCCAGGACAUGAAUGGCCGGGGGGAAUCUAGCGGAACUAACCGCUAAG
rnacentral:rRNA from 1 species